rnacentral:lncRNA from 1 species
ACCUUUGCUCUCACCUCAAACGUGUGCGAAAGUAUCAAAAAGAAAGGCUAAAAAGACUUCCUUCAGAAGCAGAACGCAACAACGAGGGGGCACCAACAAGCGGCAGCGUGGGAUCCACGCGAACGUUUAAUCUCACAAGGUUCAGCUUCGCAUCUACACGUGGAUAACCUGCACCCAUUUGUUCCAGUUCACCUCGGUGGGGAACACCCCCCCCAGGCGCAGGGUGCAGUCCAUGGUGGGCUCAUAGUAGGCUGAGGAGGCCUCGCUCAGUCUGGGGCUGUGCAGCUGCUCUGCUAUAAGCGGCUGAGAGAAGAGGGACACGGCGGGUGCCGCCUUCAUGUGGAACCUCCUGAUGCAGCCAAGGGCUUCCAGCCCCUGCAGGAUCUCCAGCACGGCAACGGGCUGCAGUGUCCCCGUGUAAUGCUGCAGCAGCAUGCCUUCCGUUAUGCCUGGCUUUGUCAUGAUGUGAUACAGCACGGCUUCCAUCAUCCCCUUACACACAGGUUUGUUCAGGUUCCCAUCCACAAUCCUCCACGGUCUCCCAAUGAAGCAGACAUUCUCGCAGGCCCUGCAAAAGACAGUUUGAAUUCAGCUCUGCCACCUACUAGAUGCAGUCCUGCACCUGAUGUACCCCAUGUCCCUCAGUGCCAUGGCCAGUGUGCCUCUUAAACACCUCCAGGGCCACCACUUAAAUACGUGGGGACACCGCUGCUGCCCUGAGCUUUGUUUCACCUCUUCAUUUGCCCAAGACUUCAAACUGCAACAUGCAGCAAUAGUGCUCAGACAGGAAACUGAACUCCUUAUUAGUAGCAUUCUGGAGGGAAAGGACAGACCCUGCAUGGCAAUCCGCACUCCUCAUAUUGCAGUUUCUCUAUGGCCUUUCCUGGGCACGUGGAAGAUGGGACCUACUGACACCACGCUUGUGAAACACAAUUAGUGCCAUUCCUCUGAUACUGGAGCUGGUUGUGGUAUCAGAGCGCGGAUAUGAACAACAUUAACAAGAGCAAUGGAGGAAAAUGGGGUUCAUCUUCCAUGCACUCUGCCUAUGAGAACGUGAAACUGAGUUCUCCAAAGCACUGGCUUCAGAAAUCGCUCUGGCAAUGCAUUCAGUCACCCUGCAGACAUCUCUGUUACUCACCCGUCCGCAGCUGCCUGGGACAGACCUGGCACAGAACUGCCUGGAAAGAAAAAAAAACAUGCAGUUGUGAAGUUAAUCAGCCCAAACUCUUUUAAUGGAUGUUAACUAACAGGUGGCUAAAAGGCAACAGCUUGUGCUAGAAAAUAACAGAACUGAGCUGUUGUUCUGGGUUGCACGGGGAGUUCCAAGGUUCCACUCUGUCUUCUCCCAUCUCCAGCACAGCCCUUCUCCCCACGCUGUUCUCAAAACCACAUCUGGCUGCUCCAGCCACGCUUUUGCUGGUUCUGUUCCCAAAUCACAGCAAGGAGUUUUAUUCCUAGAAGCCUCACUGCGUGGCUGAACAACAGAUAGUCCUGUGUUCUGAAGAACAACGUUUCACACAGGGUGCAAUGCGGGGGCUCUGCCUGCAGCACUCACACAGGUCUUCAGCUGAGUCCCACUGGCAGUCACAGUGAGGCUGAGAUGUCUGAGUAACUGCAGGCUCAGGGCUUGAGAAUGCAAACUCGAGAUUUCAGCAGGGUUUGGUUUCAAAAUGAAGGCUGCCUCUGCAACUUCCACGAUCCCAAUGGGUUUUACUUACACAAUUACUUAACAUCAGUACUUCUACUGCACCCAGAGGCUGACAGCUUUGGCUUAAGCAUGUGUGAAACCACCUGGGCAUCACCGGUAAGGCUGGUAAGAACUCUGUGCUUGGUAAGGGCUACGUUUUUAUCCCCUCUGUUACACACAGGUAGAAGUUAAGUCCACAACAGUAGUUCUUAACAUGAAAGUGUUAAAGUCUAUGUCAUUCAGGCAGCCCUGAGGCUACGUCCUGUCCUGCAGGAAGGCUCUAACCAACACCCAACUCCAACUGAUUCGCAUGGCAGUCUGCAGCUGUAAAUGUCAGGUAAAGGCAGACUGUGGCCAAAUGUCACACUGUGUGAUUCAGUCCGAAAUCAGAGCUGACAGAAAUGAAACUAGAAGAAAAUCCCCGACAACCUCCUCAGUGUAAAUCCUGGCAAGGAUUAUUAGCCAUUAAAAAAGAAAACUGGCAGUACAAAGGAUGGGAAAAUGAAGUCAGAUUGGGUCACAAAUUAGGCUAUUCAUCUUCUCGCUGGCAUGCGCUGCAUUCUGGUGAGUGGUUUAAUGACUUCACGGCUUUUAGUCAUGGGCAUUCUAGUUAAAGCACAAGCAGUGCUGUGUUUUCUUGAUUUAAAGAUGUCAAGCCUUUGGACUGAAGCCAGAGAUAGGAAAAUUCAUCUCCUAAAUAUGUCUUUGGAGGAGAUUAAAAGACAUGGAAAUGGGUUUUUAAGGAAAGCACAUUCCUGGACUAGUCACAGACAUUCCAGGAAUAGGCACAGGAAGGAAUCUUUCAUGUAUCUGAAACUUCCAAAACCUUCCAGACCAAUUAGUGUAAUGCUGUGGUGUCUGUGUGAAAUGAAAGCCUCCCUCAGUGGCACAGCUUCAUGAAGGAUCUAGUAAGUGCUUAUAAAAUACUACCUGGUUGGGUGGUGAGGAUGAGCCAGGUACUAUUCCUUGGAUGUAGAGAAUCCUACAUACCUUUAGAGACCUCUGGGUUCUCCUGUAAAUGGGAAACAUCAUCAUGCUGCUCUGUGGCAGAGUGUUCAAGGCUAAGGAUGUGCUUGUUGUGCUCAGGACUGAGAUCAUCAUUCCCUGCUUCAAGCUGUUUGUCCUCAGAACAUGGCUUAUCUUGAUCCUUGGGCACAUCCACACUGACAACGUCUGAAGGGCCUUCAGCUGUGUGUUUUGUCUGCCAUCCCAGGGACCCCAUUUCCCCAUCUGGGAUGAAUGAUUCCUUCAUUGUAACAGGAUCGGUGAUAUCUGCAUCCAAGUGACUCUCAUUUGCACUUAGCAAACCGCUCUGCAAACCCUGGCAGAGCUGGUCACCAUCCUGAAGGCCAUCAUUUUGAGUCCUGCACCUCUUCCUUGGGGGUUCUUCAUCACUGGGAUGGUUUGUGUCUUCUCCCAGCUGCUCCUCCUCUCCUGAACAUUCCUCUCCCUUCUUUGCUGCUGACAGCAGGCAGUCCUGUUGUGCCUCUGGGAAGGCUGUGUCUGCACAUUGCUGACCAGAAUCUUCUGGUUUAUUCAUUGGACACACCGAGUGCAAUAGCCAUGGCUUGGCAAACACAACUGCAACCAGUCUUAUGCUGUUGCCUCCUACUUCUAAAACCUGCUGCAUUUCGAUCAGGUCCUAUGGAAAACAAAACAAGAAUUAUCUCAGGAAGUGACACUGGAGGGAUGUCAGUAUAACCAAGUACUGUGGAACUGCCACCUUUAACCUGCAGCAAAGUAAGACAAAUUGCUUAGUGGGAUAUUUAGUUUUAUGCUCCAUUGUGUCCCUUGAACUAUUCUGAAAUUACAGCCCAAAACGUUUCUGUUCAGCUUAAAUUAACUUAAAAUGUAACUGGGAAAGAGUACUUCCCCUCCCAAGGUGAAUGUUGGUACCUCUGGGCUUCUGAAAAAGUUAAUUCUUAUCUUUGAUUAAGUGCUGCUUUGAUUUUUGGCCUUCCAAACUAUGAGGGCAAGACUGCUAUCAGACUACUGCUAUGUUAACUCUUGCCUAACAGGAAUAGCUUUGUUGGCUUUAUAUUAGCAAAUACAACACACAGCCUAAGAGACUGUUCUAUUCAAGGGGAAUACCAGACACGCAGGCAUUAACGUAUGGGAAGUUGCUGUCUGUUAAACCACCUGAAUGUACUGCUGCAGGUUCCUGGUGCGUGCAGGUUCCUCCUCUUCAUAGCUGCAGAACUGUUUGCCCAGCUCAGCUUUGCAAACCCCAAAGUAGGAAGCAGCCUCUAUUGCAUUACGGAUCUCCAGAACAGCAGCCACAUCUCUGGGAUUGUAGCCGUAGCAUUCUGUGCACUCACGAAGAAACUGAUCAACGUUGUAAUUCUCUUCUUGGAUUUUUAUCAGCCUGGUAAAGGUUUUGGGAAGGGAGGAGACUCCCACAGCCAUGUUAUCAAGUUGAGAAGAAACUGAAAAAGGAAAAACAAACGGUUAAGCAGUGAUGCACUGUUACCGUGCAACACACUAUGGAAAGAUAAAUAUUCAGACAGAUAGAUUAGAGGUGUUCUGGACCAUUCUGAUUAAAAACAGAGCUCAGCUUUCCACGUUCAUUACUGCAGCUUCCUUCCUCCUCACGUAUUUGUGGCUGACAAGGCCUGUAGAAGCAGAGCUAGCUGGUUUAAUGGGGUGUACUCUCUUAUCAAAGUGAAGUAUCACUGAAAAGCAGUGUAACUUGCUGGAAUUCCCUGACACUGGGCCAGCUGAGCUUUAAGUUAAUGAGGGAAUCAUCUUUUUUGAGUGAACAGCCCAGGGGAAGGAAAGGCUAUGGAGGACCCUAUUGAAAAAUCUGAAGCAGCUGAUCCAUGUCAAAGCUGUUGGCCAAAUGUGAGACAGACUACAAAUUCAUAAUGCUUUAGUGUGUACGCUCAGUGUGUCUGGGGACAGGUCCACCACUGCAUCAAACCCUCCCUAUGCUGAAUAUUAUACAGGGUAUUCAGAAGCUGAAGCAGCCUAAGACCUUUCAUUCUGCCCUGGAUAAUUAGAGGUCAGUUCUGGCAGUGUUCUUAUCUGCUCUCUGCCCUUUUAUCUGCAGGCUGCCCUUACAUCAUGCACUGACAGGCACUUAUGUGACAGCUGCACUUCUUUGACAGCCAAGGAAAAAUGAGAACAACUGUAACGAGCUGUUAGCUCAGCAGACCUGGGAGUCAUGCAUGGUAACAGAGAUAUGAGAAAUAAUUUCUAUUUUAUCACAAUAAUAACAGGAACAGACAGGACAGUGCUAUCCCACUAUAGAGCCCAAAGGCUUUCCUGGAUCCAUUUGCAUUACAGCACAAAGGAAGAUGAUCUUCAAGAAGGAAUGGUGUUGAUACAUUGCAAAUAUUCAAGCUUUAAGUAUUAUCAAAGUGGUCAGUCUCUGGCCUUUCAGCCACAGUAAUUAAACACCACUAUUUCAGGCACUUCUGAGAGACAAAUCAAUGUGAAUUUCUGUUCAAGGAGCCCUGGAAGGUUUUUCUCCCCUCUCUUUACACAGGUGGAAGCCUGGGUGUAACAUGGGAUAGUGUUUUAAGUUAUAGUAUAGGGACUGGAAAACAUCCUGAAGGAGGAAAAACAGAGCAGAGGACAAAAGAGGCUUUGUUCAAAUCAGAAAACUCACGAGCUGAGGAACCACCUGUCCUAUCCAACACAUCUGUGCACAUCAGGCCAAACAGAAACCAACCUGGAGAGCUGAGUCUUCCUGGGAGUGGUGUACAGCGCAGCUUAACCUUCACCUGGCAGGAAUUGACCACGAUAUUGUCACUGGGACUCAGAUUGCGUGUGCUGACAAUUCCAGGGGCAUAGUAGCCUCUCAUCAGUAAGUAAUUGGUAUGAGAUGCUUGACGAGCUUUUACUUCUAUCCUCCGUUUGCCUCCAGAGCUGUCAUCUAAGUCAUCCUCCUCCUCUUCCUCCUCCUCAAGUCCGUCUUUUCCCAAACUAAGGCAAACAGAGGCAUUGUUUAGUGCUUUUUUCACCCCUCAAAAUAAGACAGUGACUCAUUGCACUGAGCAAAGCCAGAACAUGUGCUGUUCUGCAUCCCAGCAGUUAGUCACCAGCAGCCGCAGUGUGCACAGCAGGAUGAGUUACAGCACUGAGAGCAAGCAGUGACACAAAGCAAAAUGCAGCAAAGGUGUGCAGAAAAGAAAAUGCUCUCUUCUUUUAAACAUCUUCAAAGGAGCCCAGAAUAGUGCUGGAUCACUCUGGUUCAGAGGCUUCACCAUGAGGGAACACCUGUCAGAGCACAAAGGCUGAGACCGUAAAGGUCUCAUGCAGGACAGACAUGAGAUGUGUCUGUCACACACAGCAGGAUUUAUUUUUAAUGGAGAAAAGGAGAAAGCACUGCAGAACAAACGCUUCAGUUACUCAAAAAAAUGAAACAAAACAAAAAUAACUGUAGAUAACCUCAAAGUAAAUAAAGAAUAUAACAGCAGCCACAGUAGAUUUCCCAACAAGAAAUGUAGUCACGUCAACACUACCACUUUCCAGGACAGGACAAGAGCCACUCUGGAUACAGGUGAAGCAGGUAAUGCUCUGAACAACCUGAUGCAACUCUGAGGUUGUUAUUGGUUUAAGCGAAAGUGUCCUUCCGACCUUUCAUAAGAUGACUUAGAGCUGCAGCAUCUUCUCUUGAAGCAUAUUCUGGAGCAAGACUAUGGCCACUGGUCAUCUUGGGAUGCAUGAGCAGGCUCACCACCUGCACACCACAGUGUUAUGGGCACAGACCUGCCAGCCACAGCAUGGCAUUUGUUUCUUAAUGUUACAGUUCAGUGCAGAGGAAAGUAAUGAGAAAAACACAGACCUGGGUAGCACACAAGAGGUGCUGUUAACAAAACCAAAGCUGCUCAUUUUAAAGAGCAGCAGGUUAUGAGAGGAGGGCUAUGAUAACCAUCUUCAAAGAGGUAAAAAGCUGCUCUAAAGAGAAAGGGAACAAUUUCCCAUGUAUGCUGGCAAUAUCAUAGGAAGCAACACACUGAACACUGCGAGGGAUCUUAGUUGCACUCUGACAAAACACAUGAUUGUAAGGAUAUCAUGGAGCCAAGUUUCACUGAUAAAACUGAAACCUCGUUGCUGCUAAAUCUUUGUCAGUCCUUGAAAUGGGAGGUUCCAAUGUUGAUGAAAAUGCUGAAAUGGCACACGCUGCUCUCAUUGCUGCAUUACCUCUGAUGGCAGGGAAGUGCCUGGCAAUUUAAAUGUCACACAGGUGAAGGCAAAUGUAGUCCAGGGCUGUAAUGAUGGACACUAACUACAGCACCAUUAAGUCUUCAGAAAGGUCUCUCAGAAACAGAAAUCUAAACAUUAUCACAGUGAAAUGUGCCAGGAUUCAAAGCAAAAAAUGGUAACGCUCACCAGAUUUCAUUCAAGUUAUUCCCAAAGCUUAUCUGCUAAUAAAAGUAUCAGUGUUUACCUUUUUAUCACUUCAUUUUCCACCAUAGUGCUGUCCACCACAACUAUCUGCUCUGGGAUCCUCACAUUCACAGAUACAAGUCCCAGGGAGAAGAGGGAAAGCAUUGCCACGCAGUGACCACCAGGUCCAUCCAUAGGAAACGUAAUCAUGCCUUCUGAUGCUUUGCUUUCUUGAUCUUUAAACAAGAAGCUAUCCGGCUGGUCGGAUUUUCCUACAUCCUUGAGCUUCUGGAGGAACUGAAAGGACUCUGUACAAAUUGUACUGGGGAACCGCCAGGUAAAUACUCUGGGGGGAAACAAACAAACAAAAACCAGAGCACAAAUCUGUCAUCUCUUCAGCUUCUACUGUGAUGGUCAGGCUCUUUGCUCCACAUACUUCACGUGUGUUCUCUCUCCCACGCCAGCUCUUCUAUUUGCUCACGCAUACGCAGUGACCUUUCUGACACCCACCUGUAGUAACUCUGGGACAGCUGGUAGGACAUGGCUACAAAAGGCAGAGCCCGGCUUUUCUUUGGGCCCAGCGUGUGGUUUACACGACGACGGUUGACCAGGCUUCUCUUCUGGCACUCCAGGAAAGCCUUCACAAGAAUGUCAUCCCGGUACUCGCGGUACAAACGGAAUGUCUGCAAAAACACCGAUGUGAAGGGCAGCGUUAGCUCUGGAUCCACUGUUGGGUCCCCUUAUUUGAGGUUUGUAUUAACUAAAUGAACACGGAGCUACGAGCCGGAAUGUAAAUGAUACAUUCAAAUUCAUUUAACUCAUCUGUUUCUUUAAUUGGCUUCCAGGCUUUCCGCCGUAGAUGCCAAUUAAAAUAACUAAAUACUAGAGAACACCUGAAAGUCAAAAUGGGAUCAGUCUCCCACUAGAGAGAGAGAGGAAAAAUACUCAUUUGCACCCUGUCUGGAUAGCUUCUUCCCAUCAUUUUACCAGGCACGCAUGCUUCCAUGAAGCUGACUUCUCAGGCUACCCUCUUGUCUGCUGAUAGGAUAUUGAACUCCUUCUGAACUUCUAACUUUAUUUUUUGAAGUGCUUCAGUGAUAGAUGAUGUAUUUUGGUGGCCCUUGGUGCUGGAGGAGAGGCUGACCAACACCUGUCAGCUGGAUACUGGGACUGUCUUUGUGGUAUCUCCUCCAAAGCAUAAUUCCAGCUGCUCAGGUGGGCAUUAAAUCACGGCCCACUGGAAUGCAUAUGGAGUUCAUUUCAUACAAUUUCCAACCUCACAUCUUGCAAUCUCAUCCUCUGAAUGAAAGCAACAUACUGAAAAGCUGCAUAGAAUAUAUAAUUUCUUAAAAGCAGAAGAGGAUAAUCUUCACAGAAAGACAAAUCUAAGUUUCUGGGUUUCUUGUCUCCCAUUUGAAAAAGGUAUACAUCGGUGUAAGGAGAAGCUCUUUAGGACUGUAUGACCAGUAAAGAUUGGUCUAGAUUUUGUACCUGAAAUGACUGGCAAGAUUUCAUCUGGUUAUCUGAGAGUGCCAAAGUGCUCUGUAUAAGAUUCUGUAGCACGAGGAAAUGAAUAUCAUAGACACUGAAAGAAAAAACAAGAAAAAGAACAAGGGUUUUAUUCAUGAUGAUUUUUGUGCACGAGGUACUAGACUACUAGAUGAGCACAAGGACAGGUAAACUGAAGCACAUGCUCCUUUGAAAUAGAUGCCUAAAGGUCUGAGAUCACUCAAACUAAGAAUCACAAACGUAAAAGAGCCUGCUGUAUUUCCCUCAACCUUCCACCCUGUGUCUCUGGAUCAGUCCAGAUAGUCUGACACCAGACAAAGUUCUCUUCGAUAACAUCUCUUAAGGUACAGAAAACUGCUGUCAAAAUGGCAGAAUUACAGAUUACUGUGUAGUUUUAGUUUGGAAUAGUCAAAUGUUAAACGUCUAUGAGACAAAUAUCUCAGGUCUUCAGUACUGGCUUCAUAAAGCACCCCACACAACAGAAUCCCAACCCUAGGAGACAGCCUGGGUACCACUGAGAGCUGCCUGCAACUAUUUUUUCCCCCUCCCAUGACUCCAGUAUCAAGCAGUUCCUACUCAUGUCUUAUGUUAAGCUCCCAAGAAAUCAUGCAAUUCUCUGAUUGAUAAGACUUAUACAAUUCUCCUUCUUGCCAACACAAGUAGCAAACAUCAACUUAGAGGUCAGAGAACCAAACUGCUCGGGUAGAAAAAGUCUUUUGGAUAUAAAACUUCAAUUGUUGUAGGCAGGUCUAAAUACUUAAAUAUGUCACACUUAGUUUUCUUUCCUCCACACCUAGUGCUUCUAUUGAGGAACAGGUACUGCUUUUUGACAGACAGCCUGCAUCUGGCUAUGGGAAAGAAAACAGAAAUAUUUAUCUCUACUGAAAAACACUUCCCUCAUGGACUGCAGCUCUCAGACACCUCUCCUGCACCCCUUCACAGAGAGAGUUCUGAGAAUUACAGAUAAUUUCUGAAAUACUUCAUGUAACAGCAAUGCAGUAAAAUGGUGGUGCAAGAGGUACAAUGGCACAGGGAUCAGUGCAAUAGGAAGAUGUUACAAAGAAGAAGUACUCAAUUGUCUCUGAAAACAUAGGCCAACAGGGAAAACUCCCCAAGGGAGACAAUCCAACCAGACAUCCAUCCCCAGUAAAAGGUCAGCCACUUAGACCCCUUAAAUGGGGUAUAAGAGAGGUGCAGCCACGUUCCACCCCUUCUGAUCACACAGCUGAAUUGCCUUCACCUGUGCUCCCAGGGCUGACCCGGUCCUUUCCCCAGGUGUUCAAUCAGUGGUUCAGGCCAUGACUCAACAGUUACCACACACUGUUUUAACUACUGCAAUGUUCUAACUAUUUCCUAAGGUCUGGCAAGGGCUGUAAGUGAAAUACAUUACUUUGGAGGGGGAAAGAAGAUUUUAAAACGUGGAGAUAAAAAUCACAUAAAUGCUGAAAACCUUAUUUUCCUAAUGGGGAAAUUUUAAGGAGGUCAUUCCUGCUGUCCAUUCAUUCAUUCAUCAAAUCUAUGAUUUAUGCUAGAAAUCCCUGCAGCCUUGCAAGCAUACUUUUCUUCUAAAAAAGUUUUACAUUGGAAAAACAACAGACCGACCCCAAACAGGCGGAAGACGUACUGAAUUAGAAAGCUAUAGAUAUAUCUUUGUAGUAGAAAUGCUAAGUCAGGGCCUGAAGCAGUGAUUGAGCACCUGGUGGGAAGGCAGGGCCAACCCAGGGGAGCUCAGGUGCAAGUAAUGUACUCAGUGACUGGAAGGGCUGGAGCCAGGAUCCACCCCUUCCCAGCCCUCAUUUAAUGGUUGGCAGUGGAGGUGAGGGGUUUUUCACUGCAGCUCUUUGCAUUCCUAAGGCCUUUCAAAGGUAAGCAGAUUUUCUUCUUUUGUUUCUGUGUGCAUGGCUGCUGUAAUGGGGCCUGUUCUCAUUUACUACAGCCUAGGAUUGUGCUACCCUGUUAUUAUUGCUGUACUUUCCAUUAUGUUAUAGCAUUAUAAUCUCUCAUGGAUUUGAGGGCUUGCAUG